rnacentral:lncRNA from 1 species
GUUUGAUCCUUAGCACCAUAUAAAAAUAAAAUAAAGGUAUAGAAUCUACCUAUAACUAAAAAGUAAUAUUUAAAAAAAAUUAACAGGAACUAUCCCUGAAAAAGAUCUGGACAAAAGACUUUAAAGAUGUUUAGGGAAUAGCCAUUUCAGUGGCUCAUGCCUGUAAAUCCAGUGACUCAGGAGGCUAGGCCAGGAGAAUAGCAAGUUUGAGGCCCACCUCAGCAACUUAGCAAGGCACUAAGCAACAAAGCAAGACCCUGUCUCAAAAUAAAAAAAUGAAAAUGGCUGGGGAUGUAGCUGAGUAGUAGAGUACCCCUGGGUUCAACCCCUAGUAACAACAACAACAACAAAAAAAAGAUGUUCAAAGAGGGGAUGUAGCUCAGUGGUAGAGUACUUGCCUAGCUGUGUGAGGUCCUGGUUUGAUUGAUUCCCAGCACCCAGGGAGGGGGGAGUCGAAGGAUUAAAGGAGGAAGAUGUGGAUUAAGUCAAUAAAAUUAUAUACAAACAAAACAGAAAUAUCAUUUUUUACCCUAUUUUUAUGGGUGUAUUACAGUUGUACAUAAUGGUGGAAUUCAUUGUUACAUAGUCAUUCAUGCACAUAAUAUAAAAAUAUAAUUUGGCCAGUAUCAUUUUCCAGUAUUUCCCCUUUCCUGUCCCCUCCUCCCUCCCCCUGGUCCCUUUCCUCUACUGAUCUCCCUUUGAUUUUCAUGAGAUGCCCCACCCAUGACCUUUCUUCCCCCCUUUUUCCUCUCUAGUUUCCACAUAUGAAAGAAAACAUGUGACCCUUGACUUUCUGAGUUUGGCCUAUUUUGCUUAACAUAAUGUUCUCCAGUUC